AUGAAACCAGACCUUUGAACCUAACUUACUUCGCUGGAGAUAUUCGUGUACUGUGUGAAUCUUAUAUGAAGUUAGAUGCUUCCCGGCAAGUUUUUCUUCCUUCUUCACACAGCACCAAUAUGUUCUAAGCUCUGAUUGUUGAGGGUCACAUCGAAUCUUCAGCUGCAGCUGAGCCGAGGGUGCAGUACCACAUAUUUUGAUUGUUUACCAAGUGUUGGUUUACUAUACUCUUCAGUUCUUCAGAAAUUUUUGAACUCGAGUGAGAUUCUCCGACGAAAAAAGUUAAGGAGACAAUGCUCAGUAUCUACUUCGAUCUCAAUUAUAAAGACAACAUAAUUGUGUGUUGUCAAGUCCAAACCUCUUGAGAUUGAUUUUAUUGUCAUGCAAUACUUAAGGAUCAAGGUUUUUGGUUGAUACAUUAAAAUUCCGCUCUUUUGCUUAUGGUGACAUCCCAUUGUAAAUGGAUCAUUAGGUUUGUUAUGUGCACUACCAUGACAUCCAUCGAUAAUGCUACCAUCUUAUACAAAUUUACUAUUGUCAGUCGAGUUCUGCACAUAGAUCGGCAACAAAGGUGGAGUGCUGGAGCUGAUGGUUGGUGUGAGUGGCACACACAAGAGAAAUGAAUGGAAAUG